rnacentral:tRNA from 1 species
GGAUUGUGACUCAGUGGUAGAAUGUUCGCCUAGCAUGCAUGAGACCCUGGGUUCGAACCUCAGCACCA